rnacentral:rRNA from 1 species
ACUCCUACGGGGAGGGCAGCAGUAGGGAAUUUUCCGCAAUGGACGAAAGUCUGACGGAGCAAUGCCGCGUGAGUGAUGGAAGGUUUUCGAAUCGUAAGCUCUGUUGUAAGGGAAGAAUAGCAAGAUAGGAAAAUGAUUCUUGUCUGACGGGUACCUUACCAGAAAGCCACGGCUGAACUACGUGCCAGCAGCCGCGGUAAUACGUAGGUGGCAAGCGUUAUCCGGAAUUAUU